GAUGAAGAACGUAGCGAAAUGCGAUAAGUAGUGUGAAUUGCAGAAUUCAGUGAAUCAUCGAAUCUUUGAACGCACAUUGCGCCCCUUGGUAUCCCGAGGGGCAUGCCUGUCCGAGCGUCAUUGCUGCCCUCAAGCACGGCUUGUGUGUUGGGCCUCCGUCCUCCUCCCGGGGGACGGGCCCGAAAGGCAGCGGCGGCACCGCGUCCGGUCCUCGAGCGUAUGGGGCUUCGUCACCCGCUCUUGUAGGCCCGGCCGGCGCUUGCCGACACAUCAAUCUUUUUUCCAGGUUGACCUCGGAUCAGGUAGGGAUACCCGCUGAACUUAAGCAUAUCAAUAAGCGGAGGA
rnacentral:misc_RNA from 1 species